rnacentral:rRNA from 1 species
GACGUAGGUGGCGAACGUUAUCCGGAAUCAUUGGGCGUAAAGGGUGCGUAGAUGGCCUGAUAAGUUAGCAGUGGGAAAUCGAGGCUCAACCUCGUGGAAGCUGGUAAUACUGUCAGGCUCGAGUGCAGGAGAGGUUAACGGAACUCCAUGUGGAGCGGUAAAAUGUGUAGAUAUAUGGAAGAACAUCAAUAACGGCGAAGGCAGUUAACUAUUCUGUUACUGACGUUGAGGCACGAAAGCGUGGGGAGCAAAACGG